ensembl:lncRNA
GAAAAAUGAUUUUAUUACACUGUACAACGUAAGGAGCACACAAUUUUCUUUUUGUUCUAAACGCUUUUUCCUUUUUUUUUUAAUUGCAAAGGACUUUCACAACCAAUUUUUUAAAAGGUACUAUUAUCUUGAGCUAUUUAACGUUACACUGAAGCAUUUAAAAAAAUUGUUUUAUUAAGGUAAUUUUACGUAUCUUAGAAUUUAAGCAUAUAAUUCAGUUAUUUUUGGCAAAUCCACAGUUGUACAACCGUUACCACAAACUAAUUUUAGAGCAUUUCUCUAACUGGUAAAAUACUUCUGUGCCCUUUGCAGCCAUGCCCCUUUCCUACCCCUACCCCAAGGCAACAUCACUGUGUACAGGUUUGCCUUUUCUGGACAUUUUAUAUAAAUAGAAUCAUGUAAUAUUAGCUCUUUUGCACCUGGCUUCUUCUCUAUGUUCUAUCUCCUGUAAAUAUUUUGUCCCACUGCAUGAAUAUACCAUAUUUUAUUUACUCAGCAUUUCUUGGUCAUUUGGAUUUUCUCACUUUUUGACUAUUACAAAUAAUGCUGUUAUGAACAUAUUGUUAGUUCUCUUGGCUACAUACUUAGUAGACAUGUUGGGUCAAACGGUACUUUCAUGUAUAACGUUUUAAGAACCUGAUAAACCAUUUUCAAAAGUAGCACACUUUUUCAUUUCCAUAAGCAAUGUAUGAGGGUACUAAUUUCUCCACCUCCUCACCAACACGAUUUUUUUUUUAAUUGCAGCUAUUGUAGUGGGUGUGAAGAACUUUCCCACUGCAGCUUUAAUUUGCAUUUCCCUAAGUGACUAAUGAUGUUGAACAUUAAUUGUUGAUCAUUUACAUAUCUUCUUUGGUAAACCGUCUUUAUUUUGGUUCACAUUUUAAUUGGAUUAUUAGUCUUUUUAUUAAGUUGUAACAGUAAUUUGUAUAUUCUGGAUACAGAUCCUUUGCCAGAUAUAUGAUUUGUAAACCUUUUCUCUCUAGUUAGGGUUUUUCUUUGGAUACACUAUUUUUAAAAGACAUGUUUAUUUCAAAGUGAACUUUCCUUGUAAACAUUAAGAGGCUAACAACUGACUCUGCUUCUACAUAUUAUAUAAAUACAGUACUUUUAAAACGGUGCCUUUUAUUUUCAAAUACAGUACUUGGAAGAUGUAGAUGAUCAAGAAACAGGACAGUAAAAUUCCCGAGAUAAUCCUCUGUAAAAUUUCUUGCUUAGUUUUUCGGUUAUGUGAACAUGUACUAUACAAUUUUAUUUUCACAUUUAUUUAUUUGUGGCGCCCGGGAUGGAAGCCAGGGUCUUGCUCAUGGUAGGAAUACGCUGCAUCAUUGACCUACACUCCCAGCCUACAUGUACAGCAUGUAUUUAAAGGUUUAAGUACAAAUAGAAGAGGCUCAUCUUCCUAGCUCUUGGUUGGCAAGCAGUAAGAUACAAACCUUUUGAACGACUUAAUUUAGUAAAAAAGACUGCCGGUUAAGCCCCGCGUGGAAGAGGACUGAGGUUCUGUCUUCUACCCUUCAAGAAGGGUGGGCCUGGGCAUUGAGAAUGAGCGCUUCCCAAAGGGUGUAGUGGAAAGGCCCUUCUCAUGUCACUGCGCAGGGCACUUUAUCCCCAAAGUCCCCAUUCUGCCGGGGGCCCCGACAUACGUUUGUUUUUCGGUCCCCGAGGCGCGGCUGCCUUUUCCGGCCCAGCCUGGGUCCCGGGCUCCGCAGGCCUGGACUAGGCGCCGCCGUCAGAGCCUCAGCUCCAACCCAGUGGAACCCUACAGGUGGCUCCGCCCGAGUGAGGGGCGGCCUCGAGCGCGGCCCCCGGCCGACCGAAGGCUUCUGGGGCGGUGAGGGCAGCUCCAUUUUCUCUCACCGCUUGCGGGGCUCGACGUGAAGCCGUCCAAGUUUUGUUUUACUUGCUGCGGCAGCCUCUUUGUCCGUUCACGGUUCAGGGGAGAAAUCUCUCGGCUCAGGCCGCACCGAGCUUCGAGCGGUCGGGCGGGCGGGAAGAGAAAGCCGAGCGCGACGCCGGAACCUCCCGCCCCGAAGGCCCCGGCAGGCGCGCGGGGGGCUCGCCGCAGGGGAAGGGCCGGCGCAUCCGGGCGAGCGCGGCGCCCACGCCUCCCCCGCGCAGUCGCACGCGCCCC